UACAAAAUGUAUUGUUUAUUAACUAUUUUCGUCAUACAGUGGCAACCUCUUUAACAUCUAGAAAGACUAGAUGUUGUAAAUUAGGAUUCAUUUGUCCAUUAUAUACACUAUAUACAUAGCAAAGUGAAACAAAAUGCACUAACAGAAAAGACAACGGUUAAUCUUGCCUCACUAUAAACACACUGGCACAGAGGUCUGCACUACCCUCCCCUCGUGGCCACCACCCCUGACCUCCAACCAGGGCACAAAACAUGUGGUCUGGCCAAUCCCCCCAUCCCCCAAUAUUUCAUAUGAAUUUUAACAAAAAGGUAUUUACAAAACGUCUUUUUACUAAUGCGACUUUUAACAUAUAUCAGGCACUUCAGAACAUCUAGAAGGAUUUUUCCAAAAAGUACUUAUUGUCAACUAUAUAUACAGUAUUGAGGACUGAAAUGUACACACAAAACAAUGUUUAUAU
rnacentral:lncRNA from 1 species